CCGGCAUGGUCUAGUAUAAGCAUUAUACCGUGAAACUGCGAAUGGCUCAUUAAAUCAGUUAUCGUUUAUUUGAUAAUACCUUACUACUUGGAUAACCGUGGUAAUUCUAGAGCUAAUACAUGCUGAAAAUCCCGACUUCGGAAGGGAUGUGUUUAUUAGAUAAAAAACCAAUGCCCUUCGGGGCUUUUUGGUGAUUCAUGAUAACUUUACGGAUCGCAUAGCCUUGCGCUGGCGACGGUUCAUUCAAAUUUCUGCCCUAUCAACUUUCGAUGGUAAGGUAUUGGCUUACCAUGGUUUCAACGGGUAACGGGGAAUUAGGGUUCGAUUCCGGAGAGGGAGCCUGAGAAACGGCUACCACAUCCAAGGAAGGCAGCAGGCGCGCAAAUUACCCAAUCCCGACACGGGGAGGUAGUGACAAUAAAUACUGAUACAGGGCUCUUUUGGGUCUUGUAAUUGGAAUGAGUACAAUUUAAACCUCUUAACGAGGAACAAUUGGAGGGCAAGUCUGGUGCCAGCAGCCGCGGUAAUUCCAGCUCCAAUAGCGUAUAUUAAAGUUGUUGCAGUUAAAAAGCUCGUAGUUGAAACUUGGGCCUGGCUGGCGGGUCCGCCUCACCGCGUGCACUCGUCCGGCCGGGCCUUCCUUCUGAAGAACCUCAUGCCCUUCACUGGGCGUGCUGGGGAAUCAGGACUUUUACUUUGAAAAAAUUAGAGUGUUCAAAGCAGGCCUUUGCUCGAAUACGUUAGCAUGGAAUAAUAAAAUAGGGCGUGCGUUUCUAUUUUGUUGGUUUCUAGAGACGCCGCAAUGAUUAACAGGAACAGUCGGGGGCAUCAGUAUUCAGUUGUCAGAGGUGAAAUUCUUGGAUUUACUGAAGACUAACUACUGCGAAAGCAUUUGCCAAGGAUGUUUUCAUUAAUCAGUGAACGAAAGUUAGGGGAUCGAAGACGAUCAGAUACCGUCGUAGUCUUAACCGUAAACUAUGCCGACUAGGGAUCGGGCGAUGUUCUUUUUCUGACUCGCUCGGCACCUUACGAGAAAUCAAAGUUUUUGGGUUCUGGGGGGAUUAUGGUCGCAAGCUGACUAG
rnacentral:rRNA from 1 species